rnacentral:lncRNA from 1 species
UCCGGAGCUCAGGGAUCAGGAAGUGCGAUGGAGAUGGGGUCGAACGGGGGCGGCGGCUGCUUGCGCCCAAGAGGCAGGCAUGCUGUUGGACCUGGAUCCAGAGCAGGCUUUUCAAAUAGACCAGGGCCAGAGAGCAGGACCCGAGCUGGAGGACCGAGCGGAGCGCUGGGGACCGAGUUAGAAGCCGGCCGGACGCGGAGGGCGGGGCUUGCGUCAUGGCUGUCCCGGGAGGGCGUGGUUCGGGGCGGGGUCAGAGCCCAGGCUUUGUGUACCGACUGCAGGAAGCUCAUCAAAGGCCUUUCGACUGGCCUUUCUCGUGAUUUCUUCAGCCCGAUGCAGCGGUGUGCACAUGUUAGCAAAGAUGAUACGAUGCUAUACAUGCAAAGCCCUAGAGAAUCAAUGAUAAAAUUAAUUCAAACAAUAGAAGAAUUCAGUAAGUUAGCAAGAUAUGGAAUUGUCAUCUGGAAAUCAAUAGCCUUCAUCUACCCAAACAGUAACCAGUAAGGAGGUCAUCAAGAAGGUGUGACUGCCAGUUGAUACUCAGCUGAACCCAGACAAUCGGAGGCUCCCCACUUCGUCCCCUGUCCUUGGAGUAUGCAUUCUGCUUGCCUUCCCUGUUUCCAGAAACUGCCCCAAAUUCAGCCUUGAGAUAGAAAUGUGGUGCUGAGACUAUCUAGAUGGUGUAUGCGUGAUGGAACUCAGUUAAGGCCUCUAUUUGCUGUAUAAAGAUUUGCUGGGCAGGUGCAGAAAACUACUCAUCUUGCAGCCGCCCAGACGAGCCUCGUAAGUAAGUUCCCUUACUCAUUAGAACUGCCACCUCCCAGUCUGGAGUGGUUUCUCUCUUUCUUUGGUCUCUUCUUGCCCUCUGAGUGUGGGGGCUGGUUUUAGAUUACACCCAAGAAGCUCCCAAGGAGACGGCAAACCAACACCAUUGAGUCUAAAAUUAUUUCAAAAUAAAGUUUUUAAAAUUCUAUUAUGAUUAAUUUGGGGUACUGUUCAACCUUUGGCAUGUGUCUAAAAUGCCUGCUUGACAUCUCCACUACUGUGAGAAUCGUGUUAAUUUUGAGAUGCCCAAAACUAAAUUCGUGAUUUCUCCCAAUACCCACUCCUACCCAGUCUUACCCCAUUUCAAUAAAUGACAAUUCCAUUAUUGCAGUUGCUCAAGCCAAAAUCCUUAGCAUCGUCUUUCAUGCUUUUUUUUCUCUCAUAGCCCACAUGUAAUCUACCACAAAAGUCUGUCAAUUCUACAUUCAGAAUAUAUAAAGAAUACACAAAAUAGGUUUACAAUUCGUUCACAUCUCACCACGUUUAGUGCUAGCACUGGACUUCAGGCCUUAUCUGUUUCAGCAGCUAGCGUUGCCUUAUCUAGUAGAUGGAUGGAUGGAUGGACGGACGGAUGGCUGGAUGGAUAGAUAGAUAUCCUUGUGGUACUUGUGGUAUAUGUUUCUAGACUAGGUAUCAAGAGGGG